AGGUGAUCCAACCGCAGGUUCCCCUACGGUUACCUUGUUACGACUUCACCCCAGUCAUGAAUCACAAAGUGGUAAGCGCCCUCCCGAAGGUUAAGCUACCUACUUCUUUUGCAACCCACUCCCAUGGUGUGACGGGCGGUGUGUACAAGGCCCGGGAACGUAUUCACCGUGGCAUUCUGAUCCACGAUUACUAGCGAUUCCGACUUCAUGGAGUCGAGUUGCAGACUCCAAUCCGGACUACGACGCACUUUAUGAGGUCCGCUUGCUCUCGCGAGGUCGCUUCUCUUUGUAUGCGCCAUUGUAGCACGUGUGUAGCCCUGGUCGUAAGGGCCAUGAUGACUUGACGUCAUCCCCACCUUCCUCCAGUUUAUCACUGGCAGUCUCCUUUGAGUUCCCGGCCGGACCGCUGGCAACAAAGGAUAAGGGUUGCGCUCGUUGCGGGACUUAACCCAACAUUUCACAACACGAGCUGACGACAGCCAUGCAGCACCUGUCUCACGGUUCCCGAAGGCACAUUCUCAUCUCUGAAAACUUCCGUGGAUGUCAAGACCAGGUAAGGUUCUUCGCGUUGCAUCGAAUUAAACCACAUGCUCCACCGCUUGUGCGGGCCCCCGUCAAUUCAUUUGAGUUUUAACCUUGCGGCCGUACUCCCCAGGCGGUCGACUUAACGCGUUAGCUCCGGAAGCCACGCCUCAAGGGCACAACCUCCAAGUCGACAUCGUUUACGGCGUGGACUACCAGGGUAUCUAAUCCUGUUUGCUCCCCACGCUUUCGCACCUGAGCGUCAGUCUUCGUCCAGGGGGCCGCCUUCGCCACCGGUAUUCCUCCAGAUCUCUACGCAUUUCACCGCUACACCUGGAAUUCUACCCCCCUCUACGAGACUCAAGCUUGCCAGUAUCAGAUGCAGUUCCCAGGUUGAGCCCGGGGAUUUCACAUCUGACUUAACAAACCGCCUGCGUGCGCUUUACGCCCAGUAAUUCCGAUUAACGCUUGCACCCUCCGUAUUACCGCGGCUGCUGGCACGGAGUUAGCCGGUGCUUCUUCUGCGGGUAACGUCAAUGAGCAAAGGUAUUAACUUUACUCCCUUCCUCCCCGCUGAAAGUACUUUACAACCCGAAGGCCUUCUUCAUACACGCGGCAUGGCUGCAUCAGGCUUGCGCCCAUUGUGCAAUAUUCCCCACUGCUGCCUCCCGUAGGAGUCUGGACCGUGUCUCAGUUCCAGUGUGGCUGGUCAUCCUCUCAGACCAGCUAGGGAUCGUCGCCUAGGUGAGCCGUUACCCCACCUACUAGCUAAUCCCAUCUGGGCACAUCCGAUGGCAAGAGGCCCUAAGGUCCCCCUCUUUGGUCUUGCGACGUUAUGCGGUAUUAGCUACCGUUUCCAGUAGUUAUCCCCCUCCAUCGGGCAGUUUCCCAGACAUUACUCACCCGUCCGCCACUCGUCAGCAAAGCAGCAAGCUGCUUUCUGUUACCGUUCGACUUGCAUGUGUUAGGCCUGCCGCCAGCGUUCAAUCUGAGCCAUGAUCAAACUCU
rnacentral:rRNA from 2 species